rnacentral:rRNA from 1 species
UACGUAGGGUGCAAGCGUUGUCCGGAAUUAUUGGGCGUAAAGAGCGUGUAGGCGGCCCGAUUAGUCCGCUGUGAAAGUCCAGGGCUCAACCCUGGAAUGCCGGUGGAUACUGUCGGGCUAGAGUCCGGAAGGGGCGAGUGGAAUUCCUGGUGUAGCGGUGAAAUGCGUAGAUAUCAGGAGGAACACCGGUGGCGAAGGCGGCUCUCUGGACGGUGACUGACGCUGAGACGCGAAAGCGUGGGGAGCAAACAGG